CUGCCUGUCUUGUUGUACAUGGAAUCUGUCUCACAUGCAUGAAUUUAAAAAAAAACUUACGAUGUCAGCUGCUAAUUUUCAGAUUUACAGCCAUUUUCACUGGACUAUCUGUUGCUGCUAAGUCAUGGGUUAGCCUUGCAAUAACCAAGUGGUUAUAUCAGCUGUUUUGUUGAACCUCUCCCGCAUCUGAACUGGCUGACAGAGGGCACAGCCUGAUCAUAGGUAUGUUUUGAUGUGAGAGGAAUCCAGUCCCGACAGCGCAAUUGUGAUGAACUGAGAGAAUAUUAGUGUAGCACUGUCAUUCAUGAAUCAUAUGCUAUCUGCCGCUGUUCUUUCCUCUCUACCCACCUCAUCUUCUAAUGCACACCAUAUGUGCAUUGAAGUACAGAUUUGCCUACCAUUUUUUUUUUAACUAGGCAAGUCAGAUAAGAAUGACGGCCUAAGAACUGCCUUGUUCAGGGACAGAAGGACAGACCUUGUCGGCUCGGGGAUUCGAUCUUGCAACCUUCCAGUUACUAGUCCACCUGCCCGCCCAAGAUUGAACUUGUAUUUAUAAUAUUACAAUUAAAAUGCACUUCUUUCAAUAAAGCGUUUCACAUUCUCCACUGGUUGAAAUACUA